UGGGGCCUAUUUAAAGGAUAAGGGUUGGUGCAGCACGGGGAGGUUAAGCAUCGGCAUCAAAACUAUUGUUGACUAGUAGUGUGUUUCGUGCACACAUAGCAAUUAGACUUCUAUGGCUGUCGAUUAAAGACGACUUAAUUUACGUAAUAAAAUAUAAAAAUUAUUACAAAAAAUAGAACAAGCCAAUUCAUAACCAUUUUGUAUAGCAUUAUACCAAUUCUGACAAAAAUCGUUUUUGCCACGUCAUGGUCUGCAUGGGAGGAUCUUUGGUUUAGCAGUCUAAAUAGAGCUAUAUGGUUUGACGUGCUGUUUGACGUGCAUUUUGAUGAAACUGAUUGGCCAUUCAAUGCCAAACUAUCAAAGCAAAUUUAGCAGAGUUAAAAUUACGUUGUUAAUGGAAAUAUAAAGAGUUCGGAGUUAAUUUAACACUGGAUUGAGUUAAAACUAUUUUAUUUAGCUCUAUAAAAAUAAAGAGUUGGUGUCAAAACAGAGUGUUACCACUUUUUAAAAAAAUCAACUCCCACAGUGUUUUGUAAGUGGAGUUUGUUAACUCCUAGGGUGUUAAAUAGAGAAGACCUCCCACUUUUUACAGCACACACUGAACCGUGUUUUUGGAUGAUGCAGUUCAAGCAGAAGGUCAUCUCUUUUACUGUAAAUGGAGAUUUGCUUUGGGGACUUUAGAGGAGCACAGAAAUAGGCCUACAUGAAAAUUUCUUCAGACGAAGAGCAAUUUUAUAACAAAAAAAGUUCAAUAUCUAGUCUGAAGGUCUGACCAUCGGAUCAUAUCACCUCCUUACAGCUACUGGUUCAUCAUAUUCUGCUGUUAAUAUGUGAAGACCAACAUGGAUUUUGGAUUGAAAUGAAGUCAAACUUGUUUGUAUGACCUGAAGCAUCCCAUAAACUGUGUUUACUGUUGUUAUACAUUGGGAAUGUGCUUUUUAGUUGUCUCGGAUGUAAAUAUGUUAAUUUAAUGAACACUUAAAUGCAUGAUACAUUGAGGACAAUUUUUCUGUCAUAAAUAAAUGUUGAUCAGAUGACAUUUAAAAAAAAUCAUUAAUAGUUUUAAAAUGAGAAUGAUAGAUUAUACUGCUGUAUUGUUACAUUAAAAAACUGUUUAAAAUAAAGUUUUUUGUCCCAAAAUUACCUUAAUAUGUUUCUGUCUUUACAUUUUCCAUAUUAACACCAUAUUAAAAAAUAUAACACUACAUUGGAGUUAACAAAUUACACAGAGGGAGUUAAUUUUUAACAAAUAAAAAAUAUUUAACACUGGUUAGUGUAAAUUUAUAGUUAGACUUUUAACUCUGUAUAGUGUCAAUUGCUAACACUUUAAAAGAGUCAAUGUGCCAACAUUUUCAAAAGUGUUAAAAUAACUCUAUUGGGAGUGGACCCCAUGAGGCACUUUUAAAGUGUUGAAAUUAACUCUUAUAGAGUUAUUUUGAGGUUCCAGAUUUUGCUGUGAUACAGGAUUUGAUUUGUAGAGUAUGUGUCUUGUACAAUACCUGCCAUUUUGUAAAAUCUGAGUUAUAAAUAAACCCACGGCCAUUCUGACUUAAAGUAGAGGUAAAUGCUGGGACGGGGAAUCAGGGGAAAGUAUUUGGACGCAUCUGUGAAGAAAUUAGGUAAUCUCUUUAUUACCAUUACCAAUUCUCUUUUAAAUAUGCAGUUUUCUAUACUUCAUUAUAUUACACAAGACAUGACUGUCUUCAUCAUCCUCCCCAGUCGAUAUUACUGUGUUGGGUUCGUUAUGUCCCCUACGAUGCAGGGAAUACGUUCUGUUGCUCUUGAGGGAUUGCACAGUUGUAUUGUUUAUUUAUAUUACAGGCAGUCUCAUACGCUGCAUGAUGCAUGAUGUUGGGCUGGUGUUUGUUCAUCUCACUUUGUCAACAACAAGUAAUGCUGAUGCUGAAUGAUAACCUGGGCCUCUUUUCUGUACUGUGUUUUG